rnacentral:tRNA from 1 species
AGGCACGUAGCUCAGGCGGAGAGCGCUACCCUGACACGGUAGAAGUCGUUGGUUCAAAUCCAAUCGUGCCUACCA